AGAACGUAUGUCUGCAGUUCCUGAUUGUUUUUCUGAUGACAUGCGACAUACCGCUAUAUAAGAAGUGGACUUUGUGUAGUUGAGCACCUCAUUCUGAAGCUCCAGGCUGACACUGAGAAGACACAAGAGAAGCAAAUCUGCAGCAGGUUUGGCAUCCACUGUGGAAUUCAAACCACACUAAUACUCACAUCCACACAACUAACAUGUGUUUGUCUGAACUGAAGGUCUCAUCGGGGACAUCUGCAUCAUCGUCACCAUGAAGUUGCUGGUUGUGUUUUCUGCUCGUUGGUACCAUGAUGGUCCUGUCAGAGGCUUCUCCAGAGCCAGAGGCAGAACCUGAGGCAGAACCUGAGGCAGAACCAUCUGGAGAUUCUUCAGAGUCAGAGGAUGAGACUGCAACAGAAUCAGCCGAUGACGACUCGGAUGAUGGAAAUCAGGCGUCAAACCAAACGGUUGUUAAAAGAGCGUUACGUUGCCCCCGGUUCUGGAGACGGUAUGGCAGACGGUGUUACCAGCUUUUUUUCCUGGCGCAGAAACUGGUACAGCGCACAGGUAUUUGGAGUCCACUCCUUCUCCUUCUACAUUGA
rnacentral:lncRNA from 1 species